UGAGGAAUAUUGGGCAAUGCCCGCAAGGGUGACCCAGCAACGCCGCGUGGAGGAUGAAUGUCGUAAGAUUGUAAACUCCUGUUAGAGGGGAAGAAUAGUACCGGUUGGACCGGUAUAUGACUGUACCCUCAGAGAAAGCCCCGGCUAACUACGUGCCAGCAGCCGCGGUAAUACGUAGGGGGCAAGCGUUGUCCGGAUUUACUGGGUGUAAAGGGCGCGCAGGCGGGAUAAAAAGUCAGUGGUGAAAUCCUACAGCUUAACUGUAGAACUGCCUUUGAUACUUUUAUUCUUGAGUACGGGAGAGAGAGACGGAAUUCCAGGUGUAGUGGUGAAAUACGUAGAUAUCUGGAAGAACACCAGUUGCGAAGGCGGUCUCUUGGUCCGAUACUGACGCUGAGGCGCGAAAGCGUGGGGAGCAAACA
rnacentral:rRNA from 1 species